rnacentral:rRNA from 1 species
ACACUGGAACUGAGACACGGUCCAGACUCCUACGGGAGGCAGCAGUGGGGAAUUUUGGACAAUGGGCGAAAGCCUGAUCCAGCCAUACCGCGUGAGUGAAGAAGGCCUUCGGGUUGUAAAGCUCUUUCAGCCGGAAAGAAAUUGCUUCUAUUAAUACUAGGAGUAGAUGACGGUACCGGAAGAAGAAGCACCGGCUAACUACGUGCCAGCAGCCGCGGUAAUACGUAGGGUGCGAGCGUUAAUCGGAAUUACUGGGCGUAAAGCGUGCGCAGGCGGUUUUUUAAGCCAGAUGUGAAAUCCCCGGGCUUAACCUGGGAACUGCAUUUGGAACUGGAAGACUAGAGUAUAGCAGAGGGGGGUAGAAUUCCACGUGUAGCAGUGAAAUGCGUAGAUAUGUGGAGGAAUACCAAUGGCGAAGGCAGCCCCCUGGGUUAAUACUGACGCUCAUGCACGAAAGCGUGGGGAGCAAACAGGAUUAGAUACCCUGGUAGUCCACGCCCUAAACGAUG